rnacentral:rRNA from 1 species
UUCCGGUUGAUCCUGCCGGACCUGACUGCUAUCGGAUUGAUACUAAGCCAUGCGAGUCUUUGCAGUAAUGCAAGGCAGACGGCUCAGUAACACGUAGUCAACUUACCCUAUGGACGAGGAUAAUCUCGGGAAACUGAGCAUAAUUCUCGAUAGAUCAUAAUGCCUGGAAUGGUUUAUGAUUAAAAUGAUUCGUCGCCAUAGGAUGGGACUGCGGCCUAUCAGCUUGUUGGUGAGGUAAUGGCCCACCAAGGCGAUUACAGGUACGGGCUCUGAGAGGAGAAGCCCGGAGAUGGGUACUGAGACAAGGACCCAGGCCCUAUGGGGCGCAGCAGGCGAGAAAACUUUGCAAUGUGCGAAAGCACGACAAGGUUAAUCCGAGUGAUUUCUGCUAAAGAAAUCUUUUGCAAGUCAUAAAACCACUAGUGAAUAAGGGGUGGGCAAGUUCUGGUGUCAGCCGCCGCGGUAAAACCAGCACCUCAAGUGGUCAGGAGGAUUAUUGGGCCUAAAGCAUCCGUAGCCGGCUCUGUAAGUUUUCGGUUAAAUCCAUGUGCUCAACGCAUGGGCUGCCGAAAAUACUGCAUAGCUAGGGAGUGGGAGAGGUAGACGGUACUCAGUAGGAAGGGGUAAAAUCCUUUGAUCUAUUGAUGACCACCUGUGGCGAAGGCGGUCUACCAGAACACGUUCGACGGUGAGGGAUGAAAGCUGGGGGAGCAAACCGGAUUAGAUACCCGGGUAGUCCCAGCUGUAAACGAUGCAGACUCGAUGAUGCAUUGGCAUAUAGCCAGUGCAGUGUCGCAGGGAAGCCGUUAAGUCUGCCGCCUGGGAAGUACGUACGCAAGUAUGAAACUUAAAGGAAUUGGCGGGGGAGCACCACAAGGGGUGAAGCCUGCGGUUCAAUUGGAGUCAACGCCGG